rnacentral:lncRNA from 1 species
CGCCGUAGGACCUCGUUGAAACCCUCAAGCUUUCUUCUCUGCCGCCGAGAGUUCGCUACGAUUCUAUCUCCUGGCUACCGCAACUCUCGUUAUCCUGCGUCACCAUUGAUUGGAUUGCAAGAAAACGGAAGAAAAUUCACGAAAGAUUCUUUCCGAGAUCGGAAUGCGCAACGAACAGAAGCGAAAAAUCGCGAAGAAAGAGAAUCGAU